GGCAGCGCGGGAGCAAUCCUGGCGGCGAGUGGCGAACGGGUGAGUAAUACAUCGGAACGUGCCCAAUCGUGGGGGAUAACGCAGCGAAAGCUGUGCUAAUACCGCAUACGAUCUACGGAUGAAAGCAGGGGAUCGCAAGACCUUGCGCGAAUGGAGCGGCCGAUGGCAGAUUAGGUAGUUGGUGAGGUAAAGGCUCACCAAGCCUUCGAUCUGUAGCUGGUCUGAGAGGACGACCAGCCACACUGGGACUGAGACACGGCCCAGACUCCUACGGGAGGCAGCAGUGGGGAAUUUUGGACAAUGGGCGAAAGCCUGAUCCAGCCAUGCCGCGUGCAGGAUGAAGGCCUUCGGGUUGUAAACUGCUUUUGUACGGAACGAAACGGUCUUUUCUAAUAAAGAAGGCUAAUGACGGUACCGUAAGAAUAAGCACCGGCUAACUACGUGCCAGCAGCCGCGGUAAUACGUAGGGUGCAAGCGUUAAUCGGAAUUACUGGGCGUAAAGCGUGCGCAGGCGGUUAUGUAAGACAGUUGUGAAAUCCCCGGGCUCAACCUGGGAACUGCAUCUGUGACUGCAUAGCUAGAGUACGGUAGAGGGGGAUGGAAUUCCGCGUGUAGCAGUGAAAUGCGUAGAUAUGCGGAGGAACACCGAUGGCGA
rnacentral:rRNA from 1 species